rnacentral:snRNA from 1 species
GGAUGUGAGGGCGAUCUGGCUGCGACAUCUGUCACCCCAUCGAUCGCCAGGGUUGAUUCAGCUGACCUGGCUGGCCGGGCGGGUGUCCCCUUCCUCCCUCAACGCUCCAUGUGCGUCCCUCCCAAAGCUGCGCGCUGGGUCGAAGAGGACCUGCCCGAUAGAGGACCGUUCCUCGGUCGCGGGUAUAGGAGCAGCUGCGCUCCCCUGCUAGACCGCCAAACAAGCUCUCAAGGGUUGUGGACAGAUAGGAUGGGAGUAAUGCGAGGGCUGACGCAGCGUAAAGACAAGAUUCUUACGUGUAAAGUCGUCCACU